rnacentral:rRNA from 1 species
UUCACUAGUGAUUAGAGUUUGAUCCUGGCUCAGGAUGAACGCUGGCGGCGUGCCUAAUACAUGCAAGUCGAGCGAACUGAUUAGAAGCUUGCUUCUAUGACGUUAGCGGCGGACGGGUGAGUAACACGUGGGCAACCUGCCUGUAAGACUGGGAUAACUUCGGGAAACCGAAGCUAAUACCGGAUAGGAUCUUCUCCUUCAUGGGAGAUGAUUGAAAGAUGGUUUCGGCUAUCACUUACAGAUGGGCCCGCGGUGCAUUAGCUAGUUGGUGAGGUAACGGCUCACCAAGGCAACGAUGCAUAGCCGACCUGAGAGGGUGAUCGGCCACACUGGGACUGAGACACGGCCCAGACUCCUACGGGAGGCAGCAGUAGGGAAUCUUCCGCAAUGGACGAAAGUCUGACGGAGCAACGCCGCGUGAGUGAUGAAGGCUUUCGGGUCGUAAAACUCUGUUGUUAGGGAAGAACAAGUACAAGAGUAACUGCUUGUACCUUGACGGUACCUAACCAGAAAGCCACGGCUAACUACGUGCCAGCAGCCGCGGUAAUACGUAGGUGGCAAGCGUUAUCCGGAAUUAUUGGGCGUAAAGCGCGCGCAGGCGGUUUCUUAAGUCUGAUGUGAAAGCCCACGGCUCAACCGUGGAGGGUCAUUGGAAACUGGGGAACUUGAGUGCAGAAGAGAAAAGCG